AUAAUUUUGAUGAAAGCAUAAUUAAUAAGUAAAAAUAUUUAAUUAAAUAUUUUGCUUAAACAAAUACCAAUAUUUUACUUAAACAAAUAAUAAGUAAAUACUUAAUAUUAAGUCAACAAAUACAUAAUUUUUUACUUAAUUAAUAAGUAAAAUAUUAAGUAUUUUACUUAAACAAAUAUGAAGUAAAAUUAUUGAAUUCGUAUAUGUAUAUAUAUUAUAUAAUAGUUUAUUUUCUGAAAGGAGAACUAAUAAUAGAACAAUUAAAUAAAUAAAGCCCAAUACAGCCGAAUUUAGUACAGUACAGUAAAUUCAGCCCAAUAAAUUAAACAAAAAAUAAAAUAAAAUAAAUAUAGCCCAUCUACACUUUUCAACCCUAAAAUUGAGAUCAAAUACUCAUCUCCUCCUCUAGCGCCGCCUCUUCUCUCUCGUUUCUUCUCCUAGUCCAAACCUUCCUCUUUCUUCCACAUGCGCCGCUGCCGGCGAGAAGCCACGGUCGCCGAUGUUCUUCACCGUCUUCUCCCUCCCUCUGCCUCACCCUCUGUCGGCGAAAAACCCUGCAACCAUAUCACGGCAAAGCCGCCUCCCAAAAGCCCUAGAUCCCUAAACCACCAACUCCGCCCUCACAUCUAAGCACUGAUGUCGUUCCACGCGGCGUCGCCUCCCUCCUCGAAGACGAUAAAUGCGCCGCUGCCUCCCUCUGCACAGCCCGUAUCCAGUCGCCGUCCGGGUUUCAAGCUACGGCGUCGCCCAAGCCCUAGCCACCAGAUCUCGGCCUCCUCCCUCGUCUGCAUCUUUAAUUCUAUUGUUCUCCAUAUGAAAUUUUGAAAUUUUUUCUUGCAGUACAGUAAACUUUUUUAUACUUUGUAAGAUCUUUUUUUUCGUUUGUUACAUGUUUUUGUUCAUUAGUUUUCUUUUUUAUACUUUGUAAGAUCUUUUUUUUUUCGUUUGUUAGUUUUUAGUUUUUUAAUUUUUAAUUUUUUUAAUUUUCUCCAUGUUUAAUUUUUCUUACUGAAGUAUCGUUUUUGUUCAUUUAAACGAUAGCCAAAAAAUUUCGUCUGCAUCUGCUCCAAUGUUUUUGUUCAUUAUGCUGCAUUUGCCCUUGUUUUUGCAAUCUUCAUGCCUGUUGUUCAAGGCCAGGGCCACGGCGCUUUCGCCCCUGCUCCUGCUCCAACCUGAGACGAUAUGAGUGGUAAUAUACUUCUUUCUCUAUUGAAAGAUUCAGUGAUUGAAGAUUCAGUCUUGAUCUGGCGAAAAAGUCUUGAUCUGCGAAAAUUCAGAAAUAUUAGCUACAUUUUUAGACUUUAUGUAUAAAGUAGAAAUAAGUGUAUAGAUUUGUAUCAUAGUUGUAAUUGAAACUAAUAAUAA